GACGAACGCUGGCGGCGUGCUUAACACAUGCAAGUCGAACGGAAAGGCCCUGCUUUUGUGGGGUGCUCGAGUGGCGAACGGGUGAGUAACACGUGAGUAACCUGCCCUUGACUUUGGGAUAACUUCAGGAAACUGGGGCUAAUACCGGAUAGGAGCUCCUGCUGCAUGGUGGGGGUUGGAAAGUUUCGGCGGUUGGGGAUGGACUCGCGGCUUAUCAGCCUGUUGGUGGGGUAGUGGCUUACCAAGGCUUUGACGGGUAGCCGGCCUGAGAGGGUGACAGGCCACAUUGGGACUGAGAUACGGCCCAGACUCCUACGGGAGGCAGCAGUGGGGAAUAUUGCACAAUGGGCGGAAGCCUGAUGCAGCAACGCCGCGUGCGGGAUGACGGCCUUCGGGUUGUAAACCGCUUUCGCCUGUGACGAAGCGUGAGUGACGGUAAUGGGUAAAGAAGCACCGGCUAACUACGUG
rnacentral:rRNA from 1 species